CAGCAGCCGCGGUAAUACGUAGGGUGCAAGCGUUAAUCGGAAUUACUGGGCGUAAAGCGUGCGCAGGCGGUUCGGAAAGAAAGAUGUGAAAUCCCAGAGCUUAACUUUGGAACUGCAUUUUUAACUACCGAGCUAGAGUGUGUCAGAGGGAGGUGGAAUUCCGCGUGUAGCAGUGAAAUGCGUAGAUAUGCGGAGGAACACCGAUGGCGAAGGCAGCCUCCUGGGAUAACACUGACGCUCAUGCACGAAAGCGUGGGGAGCAAACAGGAUUAGAUACCCUGGUAGUCCACGCCCUAAACGAUGUCAACUAGCUGUUGGGGCCUUCGGGCCUUGGUAGCGCAGCUAACGCGUGAAGUUGACCGCCUGGGGAGUACGGUCGCAAGAUUAAAACUCAAAGGAAUUGAC
rnacentral:rRNA from 1 species